UGGGGAAUUUUGGACAAUGGGGGCAACCCUGAUCCAGCCAUGCCGCGUGAGUGAAGAAGGCCUUCGGGUUGUAAAGCUCUUUCGGCGGGGACGAAACGGUCCGUGACAACACCACGGACUAAUGACAGUACUCGCAGAAGAAGCACCGGCUAACUACGUGCCAGCAGCCGCGGUAAUACGUAGGGUGCAGGCGUUAAUCGGAAUUGCUGGGCGUAAAGCGUGCGCAGGCGGCUCCUUAAGUCAGAUGUGAAAUCCCCGGGCUUAACCUGGGAACUGCGUUUGAAACUGAGGGGCUAGAGUGUGGAAGAGGGGGGUGGAAUUCCAGGUGUAGCAGUGAAAUGCGUAGAGAUCUGGAGGAACACCGAUGGCGAAGGCAGCCCCCUGGGCUAACACUGACGCUCAUGCACGAAAGCGUGGGGAGCAAACAGGAUUAGAUACCCACGUAGUCCCUGAGCGGGCUGGCAAGGCGCAU
rnacentral:rRNA from 1 species